AUCUCUGUACCCCACACAUACAAUUAUCUGUAAGGUCCCUCAUCUCUGUACCCCACACAUACAAUUAUCUGUAAGGUCCCUCAUCUCUGUACCCCACACAUACAAUUAUCUGUAAGGUCCCUCAUCUCUCUACCCCACACAUACAAUUAUCUGUAAGGUCCCUCAUCUCUGUACCCCACACAUACAAUUAUCUGUAAGGUCCCUCAUCUCUGUACCCCACACAUACAAUUAUCUGUAAGGUCCCUCAUCUCUGUACCCCACACAUACAAUUAUCUGUAAGGUCCCUCAUCUCUGUACCCCACACAUACAAUUAUCUGUUAGGUCCCUCAUCUCUGUACCCCACACAUACAAUUAUCUGUAAGGUCCCUCAUCUCUGUACCCCACACAUACAAUUAUCUGUAAGGUCCCUCAUCUCUGUACCCCACACAUACAAUUAUCUGUAAGGUCCCUCAUCUCUGUACCCCACACAUACAAUUAUCUGUAAGGUCCCUCAUCUCUGUACCCCACGGAUACAAUUAUCUGUAAGGUCCCUCAUCUCUGU